rnacentral:lncRNA from 1 species
CGGCAGUGCUCGGGCCGCCUGGCGGGAGGCGCCUCCCGCCGCCCGGCCCGCCACAGGCGGCGGGGGCCGAGACGGGCCCGUCUCCGCCGCGGGAGCGUGCUGGCGCGGUUUGCCCCCCUGCCUUUGCUCGCUGCCCCUACGUGACUGCAUGUGGCAAACGGGAGAGAAAUAUUAAUCGUUUAAAAGCGAUGCACCAUGCAAAAAUCUCAUUGUUAGACCAGGACAGUGCAUUUUACAAAACAGGAAAAGGAGUUCCAGAAUGAUGAAGAAUGGAUCAACGUUCUUGUCAGAGCCUGACUUUCAACAAAAAGGAAAAUUUUUGGAAAUUGACAAUACAGAAUAUUUUGCCUUAUGUUUAGUUACCUGCAGAUUGGCCAUCUGCAUAUAUCAUGGUUAAGUAACUUUUUUGAGAAAUGAAACAAAGAUACUGAAG